AAUGAAACUGCAGUGUAAGCGCAUGCGUGGACCAAUCACAACCAAACCCUAGCACAGCAUGGAAAACUCCAGAAUUCGUCGCUAAUCAACAGAGUCCGUCGCUAAUGGAUGAACUUCAUCUUCUUCAUGAUGAAGAAGAUGAACAGUAGCAAGAACAUUCAUGCAAUUUCCAGAAAUUUUCCAGAAAUACAAAACAAUUACAUCAACAUGUAGCAUUU
rnacentral:lncRNA from 1 species